rnacentral:misc_RNA from 1 species
GUGUCAGUAGUCCAUGUUCCAACAUCAAGCAGCCACCUUUCAAGUUUAGGUAUCCUUCCUCUUUAGAAUUCAUAUACCUCCCUUCAAUGCAUCAACCAUAUACAAAACCCAAGACAUUAUAAUUUGGUUUUGAUUCAUCUCUUUUGAUCCUUCCUUGCUCAACUAGCCUGUCUCUUUUUAAAGAAACCAAUAGACGAGCUACUUUUUCUUCUGCUUUCUUUGUCAAUGCUCAAUACUGUUACAAUAUCUCGGCUAUAAAAUAUCAGUUUGGAGGUUCAUUUAUUGGAAGUUUUUAUUUCUUUUCUUUUUCUUUUUCUU